rnacentral:rRNA from 1 species
CCCCUAGUAACUGCGAGUGAAGAGGGAUGAGCUCAAAUUUGUAAUCUGGCAGUAUCUCACUGUCCGAGUUGUAAAUUCAAGAAGUGUUAUCCGUGUUGGUCCAUGCACAAGUCUCUUGGAAAAGAGCAUCAUAGAGGGUGACAAUCCCGUCUCUGGCAUGGACGCCCACCACUUUCGUGAUACACUCUCAAUGAGUCGAGUUGUUUGGGAAUGCAGCUCUAAAUGGGUGGUAAAUUCCAUCUAAAGCUAAAUAUUGGCGAGAGACCGAUAGCGAACAAGUACCGUGAGGGAAAGAUGAAAAGAACUUUGAAAAGAGAGUUAAACAGUACGUGAAAUUGUUGAAAGGGAAACGCUUGAAGUCAGUCUUGUGCUUCAGAAAUCAGCAGGACUCCGUCUUGUGCACUUUCUGUUCCACAGGCCAGCAUCAAUCUCAAUGGCUAGAGAAAAGCUUUGGAAAUGUGGCAUCUUCUAUGGUGUGUUAUAGUCCUUGGCUGUAUGUAGUCGUCGGGAUUGAGGCUUUCAGCUCAUUGUGGCUGACAAGGAUGCUGGCGUAAUGGCUUUAAUCGACCCGUCUUGAAACACGGACCAAGGAGUCUAACAUACAUGCAAGUAUUUGAGUUGUAAACUCUUGUGCGCAAUGAAAGUGAAAGUUGAGAGRCUAUCUCAAAAGUAGUGCAUCAACGCCCGGUCCAGACCUUCUGUGACGGAUCUGCGGUAGAGCAUGUAUGUUGGGACCCGAAAGAUGGUGAACUAUGCCUGAAUAGGGUGAAGCCAGAGGAAACUCUGGUGGAAGCUCGUAGCGAUUCUGACGUGCAAAUCGAUCGUCGAAUUUGGGUAUA